AUUGAACGCUGGCGGCAUGCUUUACACAUGCAAGUCGAACGGCAGCGCGGGCUUCGGCCUGGCGGCGAGUGGCGAACGGGUGAGUAAUAUAUCGGAACGUACCCAGGAGUGGGGGAUAACGUAGCGAAAGUUACGCUAAUACCGCAUACGUCCUAAGGGAGAAAGCGGGGGAUCGCAAGACCUCGUGCUCAUGGAGCGGCCGAUAUCUGAUUAGCUAGUUGGUGGGGUAAAGGCUCACCAAGGCAACGAUCAGUAGCUGGUCUGAGAGGACGACCAGCCACACUGGAACUGAGACACGGUCCAGACUCCUACGGGAGGCAGCAGUGGGGAAUUUUGGACAAUGGGGGCAACCCUGAUCCAGCAAUGCCGCGUGAGUGAAGAAGGCCUUCGGGUUGUAAAGCUCUUUUGUCAGGGAAGAAACGUCUCCUUCUAAUACAGGGGGUUAAUGACGGUACCUGAAGAAUAAGCACCGGCUAACUACGUGCCAGCAGCCGCCGUAAAAC
rnacentral:rRNA from 1 species